rnacentral:rRNA from 1 species
AUACGAAGGGUGCAAGCGUUAAUCGGAAUUACUGGGCGUAAAGCGCGCGUAGGCGGUUUGUUAAGUCAGAUGUGAAAGCCCCAGGCUCAACCUGGGAACUGCAUUUGAAACUGGCAGGCUAGAGUGUGGUAGAGGGAAGUGGAAUUUCAGGUGUAGCGGUGAAAUGCGUAGAUAUCUGAAGGAACAUCAGUGGCGAAGGCGACUUCCUGGACCAACACUGACGCUGAGGUGCGAAAGCGUGGGUAGCAAACAGGAUUAGAAACCCUUGUAGUCC